rnacentral:lncRNA from 1 species
GUAGGUGUUAGAAGUUUGAGUAGUUUGAAUUAAGGGGGUAUGUUGUAUAUAAUCCAAAACUACAUCGUAUUAGUUUCCUUAUAUUCUUGUGGCCUAUAAAGGCAAUACGUCUGUCAAUGAGAAUACAAUUCAGUUAUGAUAUUCUCUCUGUUUUUCCUAUCUGUCUCACUCUCACUCUUCGUUCCUACACUAUCAUCAGUCACCUCCAGCAGGUUAAGGAAGAAUUCUCUGAUCAUCAAAUUUUGACCCAACAAGGGCGACUAUAGCUGGUUUGGUGUGUGGGUACCCUAAAUUCGUCAUCGAAAGGGGGAAAAUUGCAGUGUGCCCUAGGGAUUGAGGUUUAGCUCCAAUUCCCUAACUGGACGAAGACGCAUCCAACCUGGAUCACUAUUGGUGGAGCGCCGUCUCAUGGUUUUUCGUGUUUUGGGGAAACUUGCGUGG